UACGAAGGGGGCUAGCGUUGCUCGGAAUCACUGGGCGUAAAGGGUGCGUAGGCGGGUCUUUAAGUCAGGGGUGAAAUCCUGGAGCUCAACUCCAGAACUGCCUUUGAUACUGGGUAUCUCGAGUAUGGAAGAGGUGAGUGGAAUUCCGAGUGUAGAGGUGAAAUUCGUAGAUAUUCGGAGGAACACCAGUGGCGAAGGCGGCUCACUGGUCCAUUACUGACGCUGAGGUGCGAAAGCGUGGGGAGCAAACAGG
rnacentral:rRNA from 1 species